GAUGAACGCUGGCGGUCUGCUUAACACAUGCAAGUCGAACGGAAUCCUUCGGGAUUUAGUGGCGGACGGGUGAGUAACGCGUGAGAAUCUGCCUUUUGGACGGGGACAACAGUUGGAAACGACUGCUAAGACCCGAUGUGCCCUGGGGUGAAAAAUUUAUUGCCAGAAGAUGAGCUCGCGUCUGAUUAGCUAGUUGGUGUGGUAACGGCACACCAAGGCGACGAUCAGUAGCUGGUCUGAGAGGAUGAUCAGCCACACUGGGACUGAGACACGGCCCAGACUCCUACGGGAGGCAGCAGUGGGGAAUUUUCCGCAAUGGGCGCAAGCCUGACGGAUCAAGACCGCGUGGGGGAGGAAGGUCUGUGGAUUGUAAACCCCUUCUGUCAAGGAAGAACACAAUGACGGUACUUGACGAAUCAGCAUCGGCUAACUCCGUGCCAGCAGCCGCGGUAAUACGGAGGAUGCAAGCGUUAUCCGGAUUUAUUGGGCGUAAAGCGUCCGCAGGUGGUUAUUCAAGUCUGCUGUCAAAGCGCGAGGCUUAACUUCGUAAAGGCAGUGGAAACUGAUUGACUUGAGUACGGUAGGGGUAGCGGGAAUCCUCAGUGUAGCGGUGAAAUGCGUAAAUAUUGGGAGAACACCAACGGCGUAAGCCCUCUAGUGGACCGAAGCUGACACUCGCGCACUAAAGCUAGGACACCGAACACGAGUGAAUACCCCUGUGGUCCCAGCUGUGAACGAUGACCACUAGGUGUCGCGCG
rnacentral:rRNA from 1 species